GGGACUGCGACACGGCCCAGACUCCUACGGGAGGCAGCAGUGGGGAAUAUUGCGCAAUGGGCGAAAGCCUGACGGAGCAACGCCGCGUGGAGGAUGAAGGCCCUUGGGUUGUAAACUCCUGUCGGUUGGGACGAAAUCUUGCGGGGUUAAUACCUCCGCAAGUUGACUGUACCAGCAAAGGAAGCCCCGGCUAACUCCGUGCCAGCAGCCGCGGUAAU
rnacentral:rRNA from 1 species